UACGUAGGGGGCAAGCGUUGUCCGGAUUUAUUGGGCGUAAAGCGCACGCAGGCGGUGCGGUAAGUUUCGAGUGACAGGUGGUGGCUUAACUGCCACAGGACUCGGAAAACUGCUGCACUUGAGGGCUUGAGAGGGACGCGGAAUUCCAGGUGGAGCGGUGAAAUGCGUAGAUAUCGUUUGGAACGCCAAUGGUGAAAACAGGUCGCUGGGGACAUGCUGACGCUGAGACACGAAAGCCAGGGGAGCAAACGGG
rnacentral:rRNA from 1 species